UCUAUAGACUGCAAAUACAAUCUACAAAGUUAUUAGUCCACUCUAUGCAUUUCUGCUGAUCAAUUAUCAGUACUUGUCCAUGCAGAAUAUCAUUUCAUUCAUUGUCUGGCUUCUUAAUUAUUUUUGGGGGGGAGGUGUUUACUUAACCUACAUUACUAUUUCCCCAUCUAAAAUUUACUCAGUCUCUUCUUUGUUCCAGUUUUUGUACUUUCCUAUCAGGUUUCUUAAGAUAAACCCUGCAGAAUUAUUGCAUAAUUUUUACUGAAACCAACUUCAAAGGACAUUUUUAACUAAUUGCCAAGUUAAGAUCCCUUCACUCAGCUAAAUAAAUGUCUGGAUUAAGGGUAUUCAGCUGAACUAAGCUUGGAUAAGUAUGUGAUAUUGAACUAAAGGGUAAAGCUAUUUCAUACUGUAGUUAGAAUCUCCUUAUAACUUCAUAAAGCUGAAUUGUUUAGUUAGAUUCAGGUGGUUAAUGCUUCUUUGAGAGAGAGAUUUGAUCUGGCUGCCUUGAAAGAAGAAGUGGUGUGCCCUUCCAGAAAAAGCAUCUUUCAGUCUGUUCGUAUUAGACAACUUUUGCCCAGUUUCCAAUCUUUCUUUUUGAGAAAGUUGGUAGAAAAGGAGGUGCAUGAGUAUGGGAUGGAAACUGCAUUGGUUGCUCAAAUGGAUGACCUGCAACCUUCCUAAUUUUAUUAGAUCUUUAAUGGCAUCUGAUACCAUUGAUAAUGGUAUCCUUGUGGACUGCCUGUGUGGGUUGGAGGUGGAUGGCACUGUUUUAUAGUUGGUUUCACUCCUUCCUAAAUGAGAGGUUCCAAUCAGCGAUGCUGGAGAACGAGCAGCUGAGGUACCACAGGGCUUAACUCCUGUUUGGACAGGAGGCCUCGGCAACAGUAACUCAUGCCCUCAUCACCUCUAGGCUGGAGGUGCAUGCACUUUAUAUGCCACUGUCCUUGAAAACUACCCAGAAACUGCAAUCAGUUUAGAAAGUAGCACCCUGCCUGUUGGUAUUUGAGAGCCACUGUAACCAUGUAAUGCUGCUGUUGCACUGGUUAGUAAUAGAUUCCCAAGUACAGUUCAGGAUGUUGGUUUUAACUUAUAAAGGCUUGCAUGGCUUGGCUUUUAAGUGCCUGCCUAUCCUAUUUGUUCAACUAAGAGGGGUUGUUUUGAGUUCCUACACUUUGAGAGUUAUAGAGUGACAUAGAGGCAGAUCUUAUCAGUCAUGGACUAUUCCUUUGCAGUAAUCCCCCUUCCCCCCAAGUUCAUCCCUUCAUCCAAUGCUACACUAAAGUCCUUCAGGAAGAGAGUGAAAACUGUUCUUUUCUAAAGGGUCUUCAGAUUGGACUGAAUACACACAUUGCCUGUAUGGGAAGGGUGCUAAUAGUUGAUUUUUUAACAUCAUAAUUUAGUUUAUUUUUGUUUUUUAUAUUUUAUUUGUUAUUUAUUUGUUUCAUUUAGUAUGUUAGGUACAUGCUUCUAUUGUAUUGUAUUCUAUUGUAGUCAACUGACUGAAGUCACUGUGGAAUAAAGAGGUAUAUAAACAGCAUAAUAAAAUAAAUGCAUAUUCAUUAUGACACUGCUUUCUAAAUCUAUCCUUCGCUAGGAUGGGUUCCAAUUGUAAAUUUCAUAAGGACAGCAUAGCUACUUGAAUCUGUUUUUCAUCUUAUAAUGUGUGUCACUAAUACAACCAAGGAAUUUUUUUGUUUUCCUAUAUAUAGAAUCCUAUUUCCCUAGGAUAUUAUAAUCUUGGUCACUUUAAAAGCAGCAUCACAAUGUCUUAUUCAAUUCUAAGGAACUCUUCUUCCCCUCCUGGUUCCCUAGUUAUUUCUCUCCUCUAUGCCUCCUCUUUUUCCUUAUUCGUAGG